AGUUUGAUCAUGGCUCAGAGUGAACGCUGGCGGCAGGCCUAAUACAUGCAAGUCGAACGGCAGCACAGCAGAGCUUGCUCUGUGGGUGGCGAGUGGCGGACGGGUGAGGAAUACAUGGGAAUCUGCCCAGUCGUGGGGAUAACGUAGGGAAACUUACGCUAAUACCGCAUGCGCCCUUCGGGGGAAAGCCGGGGACCUUCGGGCCUGGCGCGAUUGGAUGAGCCCAUGUCGGAUUAGCUAGUUGGCGGGGUAAUGGCCCACCAAGGCGAGGAUCCGUAGCUGGUCUGAGAGGAUGAUCAGCCACACUGGAACUGAGACACGGUCCAGACUCCUACGGGAGGCAGCAGUAGGGAAUAUUGGACAAUGGGCGCAAGCCUGAUCCAGCCAUGCCGCGUGAGUGAAGAAGGCCCUCGGGUUGUAAAGCUCUUUUGUCCGGAAAGAAAAGCGCCGGGUUAAUACCCUAGUGUCCUGACGGUACCGGAAGAAUAAGCACCGGCUAACUUCGUG
rnacentral:rRNA from 1 species